CGGAGUAUAGCGCAGUCUGGUUAGCGCGCUGCUUUUGGGAAGCAGAUGUCGGGGGUUCAAAUCCCUCUACUCCGACCA
rnacentral:tRNA from 1 species